rnacentral:rRNA from 1 species
CCAGAGAAUAGCUAUGCAAGAUGAGCUAUUUUCUGGCGGGGAAUCGGCUUAGUCGAAUAAAGUUCUAGAUAGAAUAGUGAUUAUGACAAUUUUCUAUCUAAAUGUCUUGACCAAGUCACGUGCCAGCAGUCGCGGUAAUACGUGGAAGACUAGUGUUAUUCAUCUUUAAUAGGUUUAAAGGGUACCUAGACGGUAUUUCUAGCCCCAAAAGGGUACGGAUUUACUAGAGUUUUAUGUGAGAGGCAAAUAUUAGUACUAUUGGUGUAGAGAUGAAAUUCUUUGAUACUACUAGGACUGGUGGCGGCGAAAGCAACCCUCUAAGUAUAAACUGACGUUGAGGGACGAAGGCUUGGGUAGCGAAUAGGAUUAGAUACCCUAGUAGUCCAGGCAGAAAAUUAUGAGUGCCAUAGACUAGAUUAAAUAAUUUUGGUCUAUAAAUGAAAGUGUAAGCAUUCCACCUCAAGAGUAAUGUGGCAACGCAGGAACUGAAAUCAUUAGACCGUUUCUGAAACCAGUAGUGAAGUAUGUUAUUUAAUUCGAUAANCCUCGAAAAACCUUACCACAAUUUGAAUGUAAUACAUGUARUCUAAUAAUUGUCUAGUCAACAAUUACAUGUAUUAACACAAGCGUUGCACGGCUGUCUUCAGUUAAUGUCGUGAGAACUUGGUUAGAUCCAUUAAAUUAACGUAAUCCCUUUCUUUAUUUAUAUUAAUAAAGAAGUUCACCGCUAUAU